rnacentral:rRNA from 1 species
CGGGGUGGAGUAAUGUCUGGGAAACUGCCUGAUGAGGGGGAGUAACUACUGGAAACGGUAGCUAAUACCGCAUAAUGUCGCAAGACCAAAGUGGGGGACCUUCGGGCCUCUUGCCAUCGGAUGUGCCUAGAUGGGAUUAGCUAGUAGGUGGGGUAACGGCUCACCUAGGCGACGAUCCCUAGCUGGUCUGAGAGGAUGACCAGCCACACUGGAACUGAGACACGGUCCAG